ACGCUCGACACCUACGGGAGGCGGCAGUUGGGAAUAUUGGACAAUGGAGGAAACUCUGAUCCAGUGACGCCGCGUGAAGGAAGAAGGUCUUCGGAUUGUAAACUUAUUUUGUCAGGGAAGAAAAAAUGACUGUACCUGAAGAAAAGGCACCGGCUAACUACGUACCAGCAGCCGCGGUAAUCUGAGCGGGCUGGCAAGGC
rnacentral:rRNA from 1 species